UACGUAGGGAGCGAGCGUUGUCCGGAUUCAUUGGGCGUAAAGAGCUCGUAGGCGGCUUGGCAAGUCGGGUGUGAAAACUCCAGCUCAACCUGGAGACGCCACCCGAUACUGCCAUGGCUAGAGUCCGGUAGGGGACCACGGAAUUCCUGGUGUAGCGGUGAAAUGCGCAGAUAUCAGGAGGAACACCGGUGGCGAAGGCGGUGGUCUGGGCCGGAACUGACGCUGGAGGAGCGAAAGCGUGGGGAGCGAACAGGA
rnacentral:rRNA from 1 species